AUUGAACGCUGGCGGCAGACCUAACACAUGCAAGUCGAGCGGAUGAAGAGAGCUUGCUCUCUGAUUUAGCGGCGGACGGGUGAGUAAUGCCUAGGAAUCUGCCUGGUAGUGGGGGAUAACGUUCCGAAAGGAACGCUAAUACCGCAUACGUCCUACGGGAGAAAGCAGGGGACCUUCGGGCCUUGCGCUAUCAGAUGAGCCUAGGUCGGAUUAGCUAGUUGGUGAGGUAAUGGCUCACCAAGGCUACGAUCCGUAACUGGUCUGAGAGGAUGAUCAGUCACACUGGAACUGAGACACGGUCCAGACUCCUACGGGAGGCAUCAGCGGGGAAUAUUGGACAAUGGGCGAAAGCCUGAUCCAGCCAUGCCGCGUGUGUGAAGAAGGUCUUCGGAUUGUAAAGCACUUUAAGUUGGGAGGAAGGGCAGUAAGUUAAUACCUUGCUGUUUUGACGUUACCGACAGAAUAAGCACCGGCUAACUUCGUGCCAGCCGCCGCGGUAAUAC
rnacentral:rRNA from 1 species